rnacentral:misc_RNA from 1 species
GAUGAAGAACGUAGUGAAAUGCGAUACGUAAUGUGAAUUGCAGAAUUCAGUGAAUCAUCGAGUCUUUGAACGCACAUUGCGCCCCCUGGUAUUCCGGGGGGCAUGCCUGUCCGAGCGUCAUUGCUGCCCUCAAGCACGGCUUGUGUGUUGGGCCUCCGUCCUCCUCCCGGGGGACGGGCCCGAAAGGCAGCGGCGGCACCGCGUCCGGUCCUCGAGCGUAUGGGGCUUCGUCACCCGCUCUUGUAGGCCCGGCCGGCGCUUGCCGACACAUCAAUCUUUUUUCCAGGUUGACCUCGGAUCGGGUAGGGAUACCCGCUGAACUUAAGCAUAUCAAUAAGCGGAGGA